GGGUGAGUCGACCCCUAAGGCGAGGCCGAAAGGCGUAGUCGAUGGGAAACAGGUUAAUAUUCCUGUACUUGGUGUUACUGCGAAGGGGGGACGGAGAAGGCUAUGUUAGCCGGGCGACGGUUGUCCCGGUUUAAGCAUGUAGGCUGGUUAUCCAGGCAAAUCCGGAUAAUCAAGGCUGAGGUGUGAUGACGAGGCACUACGGUGCUGAAGUAACAAAUGCCCUGCUUCCAGGAAAAGCCUCUAAGCAUCAGGUAACAUCAAAUCGUACCCCAAACCGACACAGGUGGUCAGGUAGAGAA
rnacentral:rRNA from 1 species